rnacentral:rRNA from 1 species
UACGUAGGGUGCAAGCGUUAAUCGGAAUUACUGGGCGUAAAGCGUGCGCAGGCGGUUUUGUAAGUCUGUCGUGAAAGCCCCGGGCUCAACCUGGGAAUUGCAUUUGAGACUGAAUAGCUAGGGUGCGGAAGAGGGAAGCGGAAUUUCCGGGUGUAGCGGUGAAAUGCGUAGAUAAUCGGAAGGAACACCAGUGGCGAAAGCGGCUUCCUGGUCCAGCACCG